ACGCGACCCCAGGUCAGGCGGGACUACCCGCUGAA
rnacentral:rRNA from 1 species